rnacentral:rRNA from 1 species
AUGGCGCACGGGUGAGUAACACGUGGGGUAACCUGCCCUGAAGCGGGGGACAACUACGGGAAACUGUAGCUAAUACCGCAUAAGACCACGAGCUGAAAUGCUAGUGGUAAAAGAUUUAUCACUUCAGGAUGGGCCCGCGCCCUAUCAGGUAGUUGGUGAGGUAACGGCUCACCAAGCCGAUGACGGGUAGCCGGUCUGAGAGGAUGAACGGCCGCACUGGAACUGAGACACGGUCCAG